rnacentral:rRNA from 1 species
UGCCAGCCGCCGCGGUAAUACGGAGGGGGUUAGCGUUGUUCGGAAUUACUGGGCGUAAAGCGCACGUAGGCGGAUUAGUAAGUUAGGGGUGAAAUCCCAGGGCUCAACCCUGGAACUGCCUCCAAAACUAUCAGUCUAGAGUUCGAGAGGAGGUGAGUGGAAUUCCGAGUGUAGAGGUGAAAUUCGUAGAUAUUCGGAGGAACACCAGUGGCGAAGGCGGCUUUCUGGACCGAUACUGACGCUGGGAGGCAAAAGCGGGGGGAGAAACCAGGAUAGAUA